rnacentral:rRNA from 1 species
UACGUAGGGGGGCAAGCGUUGUCCGGAUUCAUUGGGCGUAAAGAGCGUGUAGGCGGCCAGGUAGGUCCGUUGUGAAAACUCGAGGCUCAACCUCGAGACGUCGAUGGAAACCAUCUGGCUAGAGUCCGGAAGAGGAGUGUGGAAUUCCUGGUGUAGCGGUGAAAUGCGCAGAUAUCAGGAAGAACACCUAUGGCGAAGGCAGCACUCUGGGACGGUACUGACGCUGAGACGCGAAAGCGUGGGGAGCGAACAGG